CCUACGGGAGGCAGCAGUGAGGAAUAUUGGUCAAUGGACGAGAGUCUGAACCAGCCAAGUAGCGUGAAGGAUGACUGCCCUAUGGGUUGUAAACUUCUUUUAUAAAGGAAUAAAACGAGGCACGUGUGCCUUUUGCAUGUACUUUAUGAAUAAGGAUCGGCUAACUCCGUGCCAGCAGCCGCGGUAAUACGGAGGAUCCGAGCGUUAUCCGGAUUUCUUGGGUUUAAAGGGAGCGUAGAUGGGUUGUUAAGUCAGUUGUGAAAGUUUGCGGCUCAACCGUAAAAUUGCAAUUGAUACUGGCAGUCUUGAGUACAGUUGAGGUAGGCGGAAUUCGUGGUGUAGCGGUGAAAUGCUUAGAUAUCACGAAGAACCCCGAUUGCGAAGGCAGCUUACUAAACUGUGACUGACAUUGAUGCUCGAAAGUGUGGGUAUCAAACAGGAUUAGAUACCCUUGUAGUC
rnacentral:rRNA from 1 species